GGAAUAGAGAAGAAUGCAAUGCAUUUUCCCAAGUAGAUGCCAGCCUGGUUUGCCUCAUAUUUUAAAGUGCAUGUGAUUUCUUUUUCUAUUCUACGGUGCCUACUCUAUCAUUCCUUAACUUUCCAUAUAAAUGCUGGGUCAUUAAGACUUUCUUUUCCCUUGGUCUGCUUGCUCAUCUCUCUGCUAAUACUGUGCUGUCCUGAAUAUUUUCGUUUGAAAAUCUUAGAAGUAUGUUAGACAAGCCAUCACUCUUUUUUUACAUGGCUAAAAAUCAUUAGACAUUUGUCAUUUUUACUACGUGUGAAAAAGUAGUUUUUCUUGCCUAAAAACAACCUGAUUUGGGAAUUUAUGUGAUUUCAUAGGAAUAGCAUCUGGAAGUGAUGACAUUAAUGUCAUUUUAAAAAACAUGUGUCGUAUUUCCUCUUAUUCUUUUCUGCCUUGACAUUGUGCAAUAGAAAUUUUUAAAAUUGUUCUAUUAGUAUUGUCAAAUAUCAAUUAUUGGUUUUAUUUACUACUCAAUUAAAUUUAACGAGCCUACUCUGUCUUGGUGUAAUCACAUGGAAUGGGCUCAACUCCCCAGUUAACAAGUGACAGCACGUGUAAAAUAUUGUCUACCAGGGAAACUCAUUGAACACUUAGUGUUCAGACAGUGUUUUGGUGUCUGGUUCCCUAAGCACCACUGCAGUGACACAAAAUAAUAGACCUUCAGCAGAAAAAGUUUUGGCAAAUACAUUGCAUAAGCCAUUUACAUGCAGUGAGUCAUUCUUAUUAGGGUUGGUGGAAUCCCUUUCAAAAUGUAAGUUACUAAUACAAAGAUGGAACACUGCGAGCAGACGUUUUUAAGAAUAAGUAGUCUCAGGAAUGAUAAUAUUAACUCCCUUAUGCACAUCAGGUAGGACUUUAUUAUGACAGAUACUAGAAAUGUACAAAGUGAAGUUAAAAGGUAACUCCUAGCAGCACAUCUUACUCCCUGGAUUCUCUAAUAAGAUGGGUGUUUCUACUUUGCUGUUGCCUUUUUGAAUAGUUAGAUUCUAGCAUUAGUACUGCUGUGUGGGAGGGAGUAUGUGUGAACAGAGUAAGAGUUCUGACAAUCAAGGCACAAAAUAAAUGCUUGGAAAUUUUAGAAUCAUGCAAACAGCUUAUGGAUUGAGUACAGAUUCCCAGUGCUGUCAGUCUCACCCAUCCUUCUAUCCCCAUGUGUGGAAUGUUCUAGGACUCCAUGGCUUUUGAGGAUGUGGCUGUGAACUGUACCCAGGAGGAAUGGGCUUUGCUAGAUUCUUCUCAGAAGAUUCUCUGCAGAGAAGUGAUGCAGGAAACCUGCAGGAACCUGGUUUCUGUAGCUGAGAAUGACAAAACAUUUCACUUAAUUACAGAAGUAUUUCCCUAUCAUCAGUGCUAUUUGUGAUUUGGAAUGUGGCAAGGGAAUGAUUUGGUGAAGAAAUCAGGCAUGGGCACUGUGUACAAUGAACAUUAAAUCUAGUAAUGUUUCUAUAGUUUGUAAUAAUUCAUGAUAAUUUUGUGGGUCUGUAUUUUAGGAAACAAAUGGAAAGACCAGAAUAUUGAAGAUCACUUCGAAAAACCUGGGAAAGAUAUAAGAUAACUUGCACUGAGAAGAGGAAAUAAAGUCCUCUGAAGGAAUCUUAGCUUGUCAUGAACUUAAAAACAAGCAAUCAAAACAAAUGAGAGUCACUUGAAAUUUAUUUCUUUUUAGAAAAAUUUCACCCGAAAUGCAAUGUACUUCAGUGUAGCAGUCAGUGUUUGGAAAACAGUUUACUUGAAAAUAGUACUACAAAAUUGUGUACAUGAAUGUUACUAAUUUGGUCAUAGCCAUGCAAGUGGUAGCUGUGUUUUCAGUAGUAACCCAUUUACUUUCAAAUAAUUCAGUCAUGGCAAAAAAAAAAAAAAAA
rnacentral:lncRNA from 1 species